rnacentral:miRNA from 1 species
UACGCAGGAGAGAUGACGCCG